AUAGCGCAUGCACCAGUCAUUAAAUAUGACGCAUUUUUGGAGUUCAUCUAAAUGGUGUAAUUUUUACAUUAAAAUCUGAUCAAACUUCUCUAGUUUUAAUUGUUUUGUUAGAAAUGUUACUUUAUCUAUUCCCAAGUGAUUUAUUCAAAGAUUCAUGUCCAGGAGUAAGCGUCAGCGCAUCACCGCUCAGUUGGCACAAGGGCAAGUCUCCAGUGAGUGGGUGAGAGCGCUCUUGAGUGGGCGAGCAAGAAAGAGUAGAAGAGAGGGUGGGGGGAGGCAGAGAGGUACCGAAGAUUCUGACGUUCUCUGUUGCACAAAACCGCACUGCUUGCUCUGACUGCACUGUCCAUGCUGCUGUAUCCUAGACUGUCUGCUUGAGACGGAGUCCGUUUACUCCACUCUACACCCGACUCUUCUGUCUUUGGCGCAUCCUUUUAGUUUCUCUUUAAAACCUUUGAUCGACUGAAGUGUUUUUCCAAGGAAAGAGACCGUUGAAACUGCCAGUAUAACCGGUUAUAAAAACGUGAAGAAGUCACUUGUUUGAAUAACUCUCUCCCCACUGCACGUACUCAACAUGAGCGAGCUCAGAUCCACUGGGAACCCCAACAGCAGCCAGGCGCCUGCUUCAGACAACAAAGAGAAGGCGGUUGACUCCAAGGCCCCAGCGACUGGGGAGGAGGAAGAGGAAGUGGACAUCGACUUGGAAGCGCCAGAGACGGAGAAAGCAGCACUCGCCAUCCAGAACCAGUUCAGACGCUUCAAGAAGAACAAGAAGUAGUGACAGAAGGAGAAGAAAGAAAGACAAAAAAGAAGAAAAAAAAGAAAAAAAUCUGCAGAACAGAUAAAUAGUGAUGGAGGAGGACGGGUGGUGUGAGGGUGGAGACGUUGAGGAAGAGGGGAGAUGAAGUUAGGAAUUGUGUCAUCGCAAAUUAUAAAACCAACCAAUAUCUUCACUGUGAGAGAGGGAGAGGGGAGGAGAGGACAAGAAAGGAGAGGGAAGGAGAGGAGAAGAGACCAGAGGGGAAGGAGAGGAGAAGAGACCAGAGGGGAAGGGAGGAUAAGAGAGGAGAGGGAAGGAGAGGAGAGGGGAAGAGAGGAGAAGAGAGGAGAGGGGAAGAGAGGAGAAGAGAGGAGAGGAGAGGAGAAGAAAGGAGAGGAGAAGAAAGGAGAGGAGAAGAGAGAAUAUGUUAAAACAUAAUUUAUAAUCUGGCAUGACCAAUAACCCCAGUCACCACCACCUUUGCAGAUAUCCUGAUGAAUCCCCCUGCACCCUCCCUCCCAAACGCACCCCGUCCCACCACUCCCACUGCACAGCCGCAUAUCCCCAUGCCCCCCAACCCCCAAGAGAGAGGAAAACUGUUCCCCUUGAAAACAGAGAACAAAGUCCUCUGACCGAACAAACACAACUGGCUGCCACACACAACAUGUAAAAAACACAUACUAUAUUUCCAGCUCUCUUUCAUUCAUUUAACAUCUCUCUCUCUCUCUCUCUCUCUGUGUGUGUGCGUGCAUGUGUGUGUGUGUGUGUUUUCGUGGUACCCUCAAUAUGAAAGGCAGAGUUACUAGCUCAUGUUUUAGGCAGCUGUAAGUAGUUUUAAAGGGCUCUGUAUCUCUCUUCCUUUCUUUUCCAUUCUUUUUCCGAUGUAGGCCAGACAUCCGAUCACUGGACUCAGUGGCUCUGACCUCAUGAGAGGACGCGCUGAGAUGAUGGACAGACGGACAGGAAACUCAGUUGUACUUACGUAACCAUUAGAAACUCCACAGAGUACAUACAGAGUACAUAGGAGCCUUUUUCCAUCCAACAUCCAGUUACUGACGCUUUCAUUGGCUCAUCAAAAACAAUAUCAAUAUCAGUCAAGAGAUGGUCAGAUAACCCUCCAGGAAAGAGAGUAUAAGGUUAACCCGCUGAUAGAUAACUAUCCGGUGUGUUCGGAAUACCUGAGCCAGUCUGUCCCUUUAGGGAAAUAUUUUUGGAAAGGUCUUGGUCAACUGGUUGUAGCUGAAUGUUGUAUUCUUGUGGGUCAGCCUAGCAGUGGUGUAGAGUUCUUUCUGCUGUAACCUGAGACCCUCAGGCCCUUAAAUAAACACUUGAUAACAUCUCUGGACCAAGUGUCAGCACCGACAUAUGACCUGAUCUAAAACCCCUCAGUUUACACAGAGACAGACAGACUGGCAGAGGGGGUGUGAGAGAUGGAAAGAGAAAGAAAGAGAGAGAGAGGGAGAGAGAGAGAUAAUGAGGUGAGAGAAAGGAAUGAGGAGCGAGAGGUAAAAGAGUUGCAUACUAACGCCCCCACAACACAGUAACACAGCACCCAUAUAUAAAAAUAGCAAUUAUAUGCCCAAUCCGGAGCACACAAUCGCAAAAAAAACGACAAAAUGUUGACUGCACUUGACAGUGAAAAAGUCUGCACAAACAAACACACACACAUGCACACGGACACACACAUAUUUCCUACGCACAGAACUAAUCAUUCUGCCUGUUUGGACAAUGAUUAAACCCACUCCCACUUUCCAUCCCCUCCCCUCGUAUGUAGCACACAGGACUGCUCCUGAAAGCCCAGACCUCUGUACUCCUUACGCUUUAAUCUCCCUACUGAUUCAUAGUAUUAUUAUUGGAAUGUAACCUCUUUUCUAUUUCAAGGACAGAGCAGAUUAAGACAAAACGAGCACAAGCAAUAUCAUUCCGCCCCUCCUCUCUCCUCCCUCCUAAGCCUUUUCUCAUUUACCCUUAUCUUGGACUAUUUCUUACAUAUGGAUUUUUUACUUAAGACUUUUUCUAAGAGCCCCUUGUCAGUCGGAGCUCACUCAGAACAGGAAUGCAUAUCUGGGAUCAGCUUGGCCUUUUAGAUCAUAAUGAAUCUGAUCUGUAUGGACAUGGAGAGGACCUGAUCUGAGAUCAGCACUCCAACUCUGAGACGCUUGAUAACUAUGGUCCCAGAGCUAGUUAGUUAGUUCUAUUGAAUCAGAGAUGGCCCCAUUUAAAACCUGGGUUGUAGUCAUCUUAGUUCUUUGUUAACCGGACCCUUUUCCACUUCUUCCCCUAAAGGCAACCAAAUAUUGUAGGAUUAUCAAGAACAUAGUGCUACUGUGACUAAAUGGAUGAUGUGAUGAAAGCCUGUCUUGGUGAUUGUGUUUCUGAAUGGAAUUAAUGAUGGAUUCUAGAUAGGGUAUAUAGAGUGGGUCUGAGAUGUCUUCAAGACAUGCUCCGGAACUUUGGCGACUACUAAGUGUUUUUUAGUUUUUUUUACCUCGCGCUUUGGGCUGGAUGUGUCAAUGUGUAGUUUAUACAUGCAUAAUCUAUGAGCAGAAUUACUGUUUUACCUCAAUUAGCCACAAAGUCCCUAGUUUGUUUGGAAGCUGUGGUGCGCCAUUUUCUCUACAUUUUCCCCCAAUUGGGCCAGCCCUCUAGCAAUUCACAUUCUAGCCAACGAACUUCAGCCCCUCACCAUUUGAGUGACAGCUAGCAAGAUGCACACACAGCAGAACGAGAGAAAGAGCAAUGACGUGGUGCACAUAUCUGCACAUAUGUGACAUACUACACCAUUUUAGGGGACCACUUUUGACUCGUGAGCGCUACUUUCAGAAAGACUGACUAAAAAGUAUACAAAAGUACCGGAGAAUCUCUUUAAGUAAACAAUUCUGCUCUCCUCCAAAACCCUAGUGACCUAAUUCUUGACAAGAGCUAUAGACCCUUAUAGCAAAAUAGCACAUCCCGUAAACAAUGUGUGUCCCAAUAUCCAUACUAGAACACAGGAGGCUGCUGAGUGGAGGUCGGCUCAUAAUAAUGGCUGGAACGGCGCAAAUGGAAUUGCAAACACAUGGAAACCAUGUGGAAACCAUGUGGAAACUAUGAGGAAACCAUGUGGAAACCAUGAGGAAACCAUGAGGAAACCACGUGGAAACCACGUGGAAACCAUGAGGAAACCAUGUGGAAACCAUGAGGAAACCACGUGGAAACCAUGUGGAAACCACGAGGAAACCAUGUGGAAACCAUGAGGAAACCAUGUGGAAACCACGUGGAAACCAUGAGGAAACCAUGAGGAAACCACGUGGAAACCAUGUGGAAACCAUGUGGAAACCAUGAGGAAACCAUGUGGAAACCAUGAGGAAACCAUGAGGAAACCAUGUGGAAACCAUGUGGAAACCAUGUGGAAACCAUGAGGAAACCAUGUGGAAACCAUGAGGAAACCAUGAGGAAACCAUGUGGAAACCAUGUGUUUGAUGUAUUUGAUACCAUUCCACUAAUUCCGCUCCAGUCGUUCCCCAAUUAAGGGGCCACCAACCUCCUGUGAACAUAGUUUUAAGUAUGCUUGGCCAAUAUAUUACUGCACAGCACAAGUAGUGUCCUGUUUAGGGGGUGUACUUGCACAUGAAGCUGCCUCAUGCUACAGAAACAGGAGAUAUGCUCCUGCCUUAUGGGCUGUUCUGGCUUGGACAAGGCUUACUUACGAUAUACUAAGGAGGUAGCAGUAGAAGUAUGCUAGUAACAUGGAUUUUUGGAUAUACACAAAAAUACAACUUGGAUUUAACAUUAGACCCAUACAUACUUAUCUCACCGAAGACUGUUCAUCCAACCCCUAUAUGACUGUAAGUCACAUGUUCUAGUUGCCUAUAUGUCCUUACUGUCGGUGUACUCUGUAGUGACUUAAAGCAAUAGUAGACUAACCCAGUUUAGUAAGGAGACCAUCCUAAAGUGAAACCUCACCAAUCAUUUCAAGGAAUCUGCGUAUCAAAUGACUCCCCGUUCCCUAGACAGUGCAUUUCAGUACAUAGUGCACUAUCAAGGGAAUAGUAUGGUCAGAAGAAGUGCACUAUGUAGGGAAUAGUAUGGUCAGGAAGAAGUGCACUAUGUAGGGAAUAGGGUGUCAUUUCAGAUUUACUCCCCCAAGCAAACUCUCUGUUUGUGGUUAGGAUUAAUCAAAACAUUAUAUUGUCUAUAUUUAAUUAUUGAAUUAAUAUAUUAUUGAUGUGUUAUUUAUUGAUGAUGUUUAAGUUCUGUCUGUUGGUUUAUUUAUGUUUAUAACUACCUACCUACCUACGGUACCUAUACCCUUCUGUUUGGUUUAUUUAUGUUGAUAACUACCUACCUACGGUACCUAUACCCUUCUGUUUGGUUUAUUUAUGUUGAUAACUACCUACCUACGGUACCUAUACCCUUCUGUUUGGUUUAUUUAUGUUGAUAACUACCUACCUACGGUACCUAUACCCUUCUGUUUGGUUUAUUUAUGUUUAUAACUACCUACCUACGGUACCUAUACCCUUCUGUUUGGUUUAUUUAUGUUGAUAACUACCUACCUUACCUACGGUACCUAUACCCUUCUGUUUGGUUUAUUUAUGUUUAUAACUACCUACCUACCUACGGUACCUAUACCCUUCUGUUUGGUUUAUUUAUGUUGAUAACUACCUACCUACGGUACCUAUACCCUUCUGUUUGGUUUAUUUAUGUUUAUAACUACCUACCUACCUACGGUACCUAUACCCUUCUGUUUGGUUUAUUUAUGUUGAUAACUACCUACCUACGGUACCUAUACCCUUCUGUUUGGUUUAUUUAUGUUUAUAACUACCUACCUUACCUACGGUACCUAUACCCUUCUGUUUGGUUUAUUUAUGUUUAUAACUACCUACCUACCUACGGUACCUAUACCCUUCUGUUUGGUUUAUUUAUGUUGAUAACUACCUACCUACGGUACCUAUACCCUUCUGUUUGGUUUAUUUAUGUUGAUAACUACCUACCUACGGUACCUAUACCCUUCUGUUUGGUUUAUUUAUGUUUAUAACUACCUACCUACGGUACCUAUACCCUUCUGUUUGGUUUAUUUAUGUUGAUAACUACCUACCUUACCUACGGUACCUAUACCCUUCUGUUUGGUUUAUUUAUGUUGAUAACUACCUACCUACGGUACCUAUACCCUUCUGUUUGGUUUAUUUAUGUUGAUAACUACCUACCUACGGUACCUAUACCCUUCUGUUUGGUUUAUUUAUGUUGAUAACUACCUACCUACGGUACCUAUACCCUUCUGUUUGGUUUAUUUAUGUUUAUAACUACCUACCUACCUACGGUACCUAUACCCUUCUGUUUGGUUUAUUUAUGUUGAUAACUACCUACCUACGGUACCUAUACCCUUCUGUUUGGUUUAUUUAUGUUUAUAACUACCUACCUACCUACGGUACCUAUACCCUUCUGUUUGGUUUAUUUAUGUUGAUAACUACCUACCUACGGUACCUAUACCCGUCUGUUUGGUUUAUUUAUGUUGAUAACUACCUACCUACGGUACCUAUACCCUUCUGUUUGGUUUAUUUGGAGUAUUUCAACUUGAGGUCGCAUGUGAUGAGAUACAUUUUCUGUUGUUGUUUUGUUGCUAAUAUUCCCCAUUCUGUGUUUUGGCGUUUCAAACUACCAGGGGUGUGGGAGGUAUAGUAUAUAUACAUAUAUUAUAUAGAGAUGGUGUUUGCAGUGAGAAUGCACAUGAAACAUCCCUGUACUGUACACCCUUGUACUGUGUUUUUCUGCACUAAUAAAAUUUGCUGCAAAUUGCCUAAGAGCUCAACGGA